rnacentral:rRNA from 1 species
UAUAAUUAAAUUAAACCGCUAUUGGUUUUUAAGUUUAAAAGAUGGUCUUGCUAUCACUAAGAGAUGGUCCCGCGGUGUAUUAGUUAGUUGGUGAGGUAAUGGCUCACCAAGACAAUGAUACAUAGCCGAGUUGAGAGACUGACCGGCCACAAUGGGACUGAGACACGGCCCAUACUCCGUACGGGAGGCAGCAGUAGGGAAUCUUCCAACAAUGGACGAAAGUCUGAUGGAGCAACGCCGCGUGUGUGAUGAAGGGUUUCGGCUCGUAAAACACUGUUGUAAGAGAAGAAUGACAUUGAGAGUAACUGUUCAAUGUGUGACGGUAUCUUACCAGAAAGGAACGGCUAAAUACGUG